rnacentral:rRNA from 1 species
AGAGUUUGAUCAUGGCUCAGGAUGAACGCUGGCGGCGUGCCUAACACAUGCAAGUCGAACGUUAGGGUUUAGCAAUAGACCCAAAAGUGGCGAACGGGUGAGUAACACGUAGGAACCUGCCGCGCAGAGGGGGAUAACGACUGGAAACGGUCGCUAAUACCGCAUGGUACCAGCUUGAUGGGAAGAAGGCUGGUUAAAACCUUGGUGCUGCGCGAGGGGCCUGCGUCCGAUUAGUUAGUUGGUGAGGUAACGGCUCACCAAGACGAUGAUCGGUAGCUGGUCUGAGAGGAUGAUCAGUCACACGGGAACUGAGACGCGGUCCCGACUCCUACGGGGGGCAGCAGUGAGGAAUAUUGCACAAUGGACGCAAGUCUGAUGCAGCAACGCCGCGUGGAGGAUGAAGGUCUUUGGAUUGUAAACUCCUUUUCUCAGGGAAGAGAAUGGACGGUACCUGAGGAAUAAGUCACGGCUAACUACGUGCCAGCAGCCGCGGUAAUACGUAGGUGGCAAGCGUUAUCCGGAAUUACUGGGCGUAAAGCGCACGCAGGCGGUCUCUUAAGUUUGACGUGAAAGCUCCCGGCUUAACUGGGAGAGGUCGUUGAAUACUGGGAGACUUGAGGCAAUGAGAGGGGUGUAGAAUUCCCGGUGUAGUGGUGGAAUGCGUAGAUAUCGGGGGGAAUACCAGUGGCGAAAGCGGCACCCUAGCGUUGUACUGACGCUCAUGUGCGAAAGC